UAUUAUUUUAAUUGUAAAGUUUAGGCUAGGGUAGUAGUAGAUAAGUACUUGAAACUCAAAGGAAUUGGCGGUGUUUUAGUCUUUUCAGAGGAAUCUGUCCCGUAAUUGAUAAUACACAUUAAAUGUUACUUAAUUUUGUAAAAUCAGUUUGUAUACCGCCGUCGUGAGAUUAUCUUUUUUAGAGUAAUAAUUUUCUUAAAAUUUUAAGAUAAAAUGUCAGGUCAAGGUGCAGUUUAUGAUUAAGAGGGAGAUGGAUUACGAUAAAAAUAUUUAAAUGGAUUUUUCAAUGAAAUUUGGGAAUAAAAGUGGAUUUGAAAGUAAUUUUGUUAAAUUAUGAUAAAAUGAUUUAAGCUCUGGAACAUGUACAUAUCGCCCGUCACUCUCGUUAUUAAGAUGAG
rnacentral:rRNA from 1 species